AUAAUGAAACCACGUUUGUUCGUUUUUUCUUAUUAGACUGGUUAACUAUCAGUGACCCCACCAAGGCCAUAUCUCAGUGUGCUGACAGUUUUCUGCGUAUUCAUCAAACUGAGAGCCCCUUACUUCUCAGCAUGGACAUCAGAAAAAGCCCUGCUUAACAGGACAUGGCACUAAUCUCCUUCUACAAGCGAAAUCAUGUGGAAUGGGGACGGCCUCUGAAUUGCAAACUUGAAGGAGAUACUGCUAUUGGACAGGGUGUAACUCGCUUCUUUUUCUCAACAUGCAUGGAAAAAUUGAAGUCAGGGUUUUCCAUCAAUUUUGCAAACUCAAAUGUUACGCGGCUUUUUGAAGGAGAGACUGGCCAUUUGGCUCCCUCAGCCUCUCACUUUCUUGUUGAAAGUGAUAUGUUCAUGUUGGCGGGGAGAAUGGUAGGCCACUCCUUUCUACAUGGCGGACCAUGCCUGUUGGGAAUCAGCCCUGCAGUGAUUCAUGUCCUACUUGGUGGAAGUCCUGAAACUGCAACUGUUACACUUGAGGACUGUCCAGACCUGGAUAUCAGAGAAACAAUCGGACUUGUAUGUUUGAUUUUAAAAAUGUUUUUUCUUUCACUAAGAUUUAAUUUACAAUGG